UACUGUUUCAAUAUUUCAGUAAAAAGAUUUUUUAUACAGCGCCAGAUUUAAUACGCAAACAAUGCAAAAUUGGCAUAAAUGGGAUAAAUGUGGGGGUUUAGUUUUCAGGUUUUCACAGGUAUGUCACCAAACACUAGAUGGCGGUAUAUAACUGAACGAGUUGAACGCCAGCAGGUAUGUAACCAAAGAAGAAGAAAGUGGUGUGCUGUUUUGUUAUGUUGGCUAGUAAGUUCUGUGUGCCUUGUUUUCCUGUCGUAAUCUGAUUGGAUGAUUCGAGUCGCCUGCGAACAAACUAUUUAGUAGGGUAUUUAUGUGCCUGAUUCCAAGUCUUUUUUAAAUUAAUUUUAUUUUUUUUAUGUAUUAUGGAAAUUAAAACCAAAACCAAGACGCACAGUUACCGAUUUAGCUACUUGCUAGCUAAACUGGUUACGUAUCAAUAUUUGAAAACGUCUAAUUUUAAACGUUACUGAACUCAACAAAAGUGACCCAAAAUAAAACAGCCUCUGAAAAAUAUAUAUUAAAACGUCCAAUUUUAAGCAUGUUUGUGCUAAAGGGACAACAAGUGAUUUUUAAAAAUAUAUAUUUUUUAAAUAUUAUUUAGAAAAUAAUAUGCUUGUAUGUUUAUAAGUUUGUACGAUUUUAAAUCAGGCGGAUACGAGAGCUACCAAUGGGUCCUGAGGGUGCAGGAUGUGAAGAGGGAUGUCCGUUAACGCAUCACCCGGUCAGCAGUACUAAACAUGAACGACAAUCAUCACCGCACAGCUGGGGUUUACACUGCAGUGGAGGCAAAGCCGGAGGAACCACCCGGGUGCUCCAAGUAUCAGCUGUUAGACCUGCCCUGGGAGGACGUCCUCGUGACAUAUGUACUAUGUUAUUUGCCUUUACGACACCUGGUCAGCCUACAGCGAGUGAGCAAGACGUUCCGCUCUCUAAUUCAGGUUUAUCUGGCCAACUGCCGCUCGUUCGACCCUGCACAGACAGGUCCUCACAUUCCUAAGGAAGCUUUUUGUUCCAUGCUCUGCGAUAAUAAAGUUCUGCAGAGCCUCUCUGUACACGGCUGCUGUGACUGGAUCACUGAUGAUGAGCUACUUCCUGUGAUUGGUCAGAACCAGCAGCUGCAGCGUGUGGACCUACACGGUUGUGUUCACCUCACUCGGCACGCUCUGGUGGCUGUGGCUCUGGGCUGCCCCCGCCUGCAGCAUCUGGGCCUGGCACACUGCGAGUGGGUGGAUAACCUGGCGCUGCGCAGCAUGGCAGAUCACUGCACCGAGCUGCGCACCCUGGACCUCACUGCCUGCAGGCAGCUGAGAGACGAGGCCUUGUGUUACGGGGUGGCGCGCUGGCCCACGUUGCGCUCGCUCUCUGUGGCCAUCAAUGCCAACAUCACAGACACGACUGUGGAGGAGGUGGCCAAGCGCUGCAGGGAGCUCGAGCAUCUCGACCUGACCGGCUGUCUGAGGGUUCGCAACGAGGCCAUCCGGACCGUGGCUGAGUACUGCCCUAAACUGCAGUCUCUGAAGGUGAAUCACUGUCAUAACGUUAACGAGUCCAGUCUGGGUGUACUACGAAGGCGGAAUGUAGACAUCGACGUGGAACCUCCUCUCCAGAGGGCGUUGGUGCUGCUACAGAACGUGGUGGGCUUCGCUCCCUUCAUCAACCUACAGAUAUAACAAUACAUGAACACCUGGGUCCAUGUGUAUCAUACGUCUCAGAACAAGAGUGCUGAUUUGCAGUCAGCUGUCUCUCGGUGAACAUCACACUCAUUAGUCAGGUGUGUUUUUCUGAGAGGUGUGGUACAUAUGACCCCAAGACCAGCCUAGCUGAAAUCAGGACUUCCUUCAUCCUUGAUCUAUCUGGAGUGAAUCCCUGUGCUGGCACAGUGCAAUGAUAUGGACCAUGUACUCGUAUGAAAUAACCAUUUCAGCUAUGUGAUUGAGUAGUUGUGUUCUACCAGGGGUUCCACCAGCCCCGUUUCAAGUCACAAUAAUUAUCUGUGAACUGAGUCAGUUGCAUUACAAUACAAAGACAAGGAAACUCUUCCAGCUGCUGUUGCCAUGCGGGAUUGACUAGAGACAGUUAAGUUUACCUCUCAAAGAAAGUGUCAUACUUAUCAGAUCUGUCAUACUUGAGAUUUUCCUGUGUAAAUGCAAUGUCUUUUAGCUAUUCAGAUCUGCUGUGUUAUACUUCUGGUUUUACUCUGAGCACUUAUUUUGAUUACGAAUACAUGAAUUGGGCUUGAACAUUCUUUCAUUCUUCCAGUAAUUGUGGGAAAUGUACUGUUUGUUUUAUUUAUUCUUUUUUUAUGUGGUAAACAAAAGCUUUGUGUAAUUUUGCACUUAAUAACACACUGAAGGAAACAAAUUGCACCUUUCAAAGUAUCUGCUCAGAGAUCUGUUGAUUUGUGUUAGAACUUACCGAGCAAAUCGGAGCGUGAGACGAAUUUUGUGUCCCAGUGUUAGUGGAUACACACAAACCUUUUAUAGUUUAUCUAAAAGUAAACAAUUAGGACUUGCAGGCAGCAUGGCGGAUCACUUUUAUAGUUUAUCUUUUACAGUUUAUCUUCAAACACCCAAAGCGGUUGUUAUUUCUACAGGCAUAACUUGAAACUCCCACCAAACCUCAGCAUUACUAUUACAUAUUAGCUUUAAACCAGACUGAAUGUGUUUAUUGUCAAAUUUAAUUAAUUCUAGAGAUCAUGACAUUUCAUUAUAAUACCUUAGAUUUAUGGUGUAAAAUGUAAUUGUAAUAAAGCAUUUGCACUACUGUAGGUUUGGAUUAGUUUUAUUAAGGAGUGGAUUAUACAACUUGAUUAUACAACACAUCAUUAAAAGUGAAGAUGUUAAGGCAUUUUAUUUAGAUAGAAUUAGUUUUAUGAUUUUUUUUUUUCUGUCAAAACUACAAUUAUUGUAAUAUAUUAUAAUAUAUACAACAGCAAUUAUAUGUCCAGUGUCACAGCAAAUCCGAUUGAACUCAGUCUACAGGAUCAUACAUGGUGUACAAGCUUUGCAUUUCGUAUUGCUGUGAUGUUUUGCUCUGUUUAAUGUUUAUUUGUAUAUGAUUAUUUGUGAAUGUUCUAAAUGAUUGCUUAUAUACAAUAAUAUGCAAUAUUGAUGAGGUUUUGGAAACCCUUAUUUAAUUUUGAGCUGGAUCACUUUUGCUCAAUUAGUCAAUGUCCUAUAGCAUUUUAUGAAUUUCAUAU